rnacentral:rRNA from 1 species
GCUAAGCCGCGAGGUGGAGCCAAUCCUCAAAGUUGGUCUCAGUUCAGAUUGCAGGCUGCAACCCGCCUGCAUGAAGAUGGAGUUGCUAGUAACCGCAGGUCAGCUAUACUGCGGUGAAUACGUUCCCGGGGCUU